rnacentral:rRNA from 1 species
GAUGAACGCUGGCGGCGUGCCUAAUACAUGCAAGUCGAGCGAACAGACGAGGAGUUUGCUCCUUUGACGUUAGCGGCGGACGGGUGAGUAACACGUAGGUAACCUACCUAUAAGACUGGGAUAACUUCGGGAAACCGGAGCUAAUACCGGAUAAUAUUUCGAACCGCAUGGUUCGAUAGUGAAAGAUGGCUUUGCUAUCACUUAUAGAUGGACCUGCGCCGUAUUAGCUAGUUGGUAAGGUAACGGCUUACCAAGGCAACGAUACGUAGCCGACCUGAGAGGGUGAUCGGCCACACUGGAACUGAGACACGGUCCAGACUCCUACGGGAGGCAGCAGUAGGGAAUCUUCCGCAAUGGGCGAAAGCCUGACGGAGCAACGCCGCGUGAGUGAUGAAGGUCUUCGGAUCGUAAAGCUCUGUUAUUAGGGAAGAACAAACGUGUAAGUAACUGUGCACGUCUUGACGGUACCUAAUCAGAAAGCCACGGCUAACUACGUG